rfam:Vibrio shilonii AK1 1103207001970, whole genome shotgun sequence.
UUACUUAAUUUCUUAGCCUAACAGGCUAAUGGCUGGUGGUUUAUUGACCACCGGCCU